rnacentral:misc_RNA from 1 species
UACGUAGGGGGCAAGCGUUGUCCGGAAUUAUUGGGCGUAAAGGGCGCGCAGGCGGUUCUUUAAGUUGAGUGUAAAAGGCAGUGGCUCAACCACUGUAGGCACCCAAAACUGGAGGACUUGAGUGCAGGAGAGGAGAGUGGAAUUCCCGGUGUAGCGGUGGAAUGCGUAGAGAUCGGGAGGAACACCAGUGGCGAAGGCGGCUCUCUGGCCUGUAACUGACGCUGAGGCGCGAAAGCGUGGGGAGCAAACAGG